AUUGAACGCUGGCGGCAGGCCUAACACAUGCAAGUCGAACGGUAACAGGAAACAGCUUGCUGUUUCGCUGACGAGUGGCGGACGGGUGAGUAAUGUCUGGGAAACUGCCUGAUGGAGGGGGAUAACUACUGGAAACGGUAGCUAAUACCGCAUAACGUCGCAAGACCAAAGAGGGGGACCUUCGGGCCUCUUGCCAUCGGAUGUGCCCAGAUGGGAUUAGCUAGUAGGUGGGGUAACGGCUCACCUAUGCGACGAUCCCUAGCUGGUCUGGGAGUAUGACCGGCCACACUGGAACUGAGACACGGUCCAGACUCCUACGGGAGGCAGCAGUGGGGAAUAUUGCACAAUGGGCGCAAGCCUGAUGCAGCCAUGCCGCGUGUAUGAAGAAGGCCUUCGGGUUGUAAAGUACUUUCAGCGGGGAGGAAGGGAGUAAAGUUAAUACCUUUGCUCAUUGACGUUACCCGCAGAAGAAGCACCGGCUGACUCCGUGCCAGCCGCCGCCGUAA
rnacentral:rRNA from 1 species